rnacentral:rRNA from 1 species
CUAAAAGAAUUUAUGUGUUUAAUUUUCUCGAACUUAGAAGAGCGAUUUAAUUGGAGAUUUUAUUGUUGAAUAAAUAUUUAAAACAAUUAAUUAGUGAUGAAAUGUAAUUCGUUUCUAAAUAUAUCUGGUUUUCAUAGAAACGAAUUUAAUUCGGCUUGGUUAUUGUAAUUAAUUAAUUAAUUAAUUGGUUAUUUUAUCGUAGUAAUGUACUAGGGGAUUAGCUUUAGUAUAAAUUAUUAUAAAAAUUUAAAGGUUACUCAGUAGGUAGGAUUAGAAGUUUUCAUCCUUGUAAGAAUGUUAUAAUUGGUUUUGUUGAAUGUUUUAUUUUUAUUUGUUUUAAGGUUUUUAUAUGAAUUUAUUUUGUAAUUUUAGUUGAUUAGUAAAAAUGAUAAAAUUAGUAUAGGAAAAUUUAUUGUUAAUGGUAAGUUUAAGGUUGAUAAAAGGAAUUCGGCAAAUAAUUUUUCACCUGUUUAUUAAAAACAUGGCCUUUUGAUUAUAAUUUAAGGUCUCGCCUGCCCGAUGAGGAGUUGAAUGGCCGCGGUAUUCU